rnacentral:rRNA from 1 species
AUUCCAGCUCCAAUAGCGUAUAUUAAAGUUGUUGCAGUUAAAAAGCUCGUAGUUGGAUCUCAGGGUGAGCUCAGUUGGUCGGCCUAAUUGGUCAGAACUGGCCGACUCUCCCUUGUUUCUGAAUCCCGGUCGGAGUUAAUUCUUCGUUCGUGGACUUCAGAUCGUUUACCUUGAAAAAAUUAGAGUGUUCAAAGCGGGCGUUUGCUUGAAUACAUUAGCAUGGAAUAAUGGAAUAGGACCCUGGUUCUAUUUUGUUGGUUUUGAGGACCAGAGUAAUGAUUAAUAGGGAUAGUUGGGGGCAUUCAUAUUUAAUUGUCAGAGGUGAAAUUCUUGGAUUUAUGAAAGAUGAACUUCUGCGAAAGCAUUUGCCAAGGAUGUUUUCAUUG